UACGAAGGGGGCUAGCGUUGCUCGGAAUCACUGGGCGUAAAGCGCACGUAGGCGGGUUGCUAAGUCAGGGGUGAAAUCCUGGAGCUCAACUCCAGAACUGCCUUUGAUACUGGCGGCCUUGAGUCCGGGAGAGGUGAGUGGAACUGCGAGUGUAGAGGUGAAAUUCGUAGAUAUUCGCAAGAACACCAGUGGCGAAGGCGGCUCACUGGCCCGGUACUGACGCUGAGGUGCGAAAGCGUGGGGAGCAAACGGG
rnacentral:rRNA from 1 species